rnacentral:rRNA from 1 species
AUGAUCCUCUGUCUCAGCGGCCGCCAGCUCGGCUUUGACCGCCACCUAAUCGUGCCUAGGGUGAAUACUAGUCCAUUCGGGUUUUUUUUGGUAAAAACGCCGGAACAAUGCGGGAGCGCGUCUGAGUUCCUUCGCUCCCUCGGCCUCGGCCUCGACGACCUCGCCGCCUACCCGCUCGCCCUCGGCUGCAGCGUCCGCAAGAACAUGGUCCCCGUCCUCGACUACCUCGGCAAGAUCGGCGUCCGCCGCGACGAGCUCCCGCACCUGCUCCACCGUCACCCGCAGGUGCUCCACGCCAGCAUCAUCGUCGACCUUGCGUCCGUCGUUAAGUACCUCCAGGGGAUGGACGUCAAGCCCGGCGACGUGUCGCGCGUGCUCGAGCGCUACCUCGGCUGCAUGCUCGAGGGCACCAUGAGCACCUCCGUCGCCUACCUCGUCGGCAUCGGCGUCGCCAGGCGCCACGCUGAGCUGCUCACAAGAGAUCUUUAUUCAGCCGGCGCUGCCGCCAAGACGCCAUGGCGAUUGGCGAAGCCCCACUGA